UACGAAGGGGGCUAGCGUUGCUCGGAUUGACUGGGCGUAAAGGGCGCGUAGGCGGAUAGUACAGUCAGGCGUGAAAUUCCUGGGCUCAACCUGGGGGCUGCGUUUGAUACGUAUUGUCUGGAGUUCGGAAGAGGGUCGUGGAAUUCCCAGUGUAGUGGUGAAAUACGUAGAGAUUGGGAAGAACACCAGUGGCGAAGGCGGCUAUCUGGACGGUUUCUGACGCUAAGACGCGAAAGCGUGGGGAGCAAACAGG
rnacentral:rRNA from 1 species